ACGGAAGGCAGCAGUGGGGAAUAUUGCACAAUGGGGGAAACCCUGAUGCAGCGACGCCGCGUGAGCGAAGAAGUAUUUCGGUAUGUAAAGCUCUAUCAGCAGGGAAGAUAAUGACGGUACCUGACUAAGAAGCCCCGGCUAACUACGUGCCAGCAGCCGCGGUAAUACGUAGGGGGCAAGCGUUAUCCGGAUUUACUGGGUGUAAAGGGAGCGUAGACGGUGUGGCAAGUCUGAUGUGAAAGGCAUGGGCUCAACCUGUGGACUGCAUUGGAAACUGUCAUACUUGAGUGCCGGAGGGGUAAGCGGAAUUCCUAGUGUAGCGGUGAAAUGCGUAGAUAUUAGGAGGAACACCAGUGGCGAAGGCGGCUUACUGGACGGUAACUGACGUUGAGGCUCGAAAGCGUGGGGAGCAAACAGGAUUAGAUACCCUGGUA
rnacentral:rRNA from 1 species